AUGCGAAAGCAGUUGAAGACGAAUCGGAAAGAGUUUGGAAACAAACUUGAGUAAGAUUUGGAUGUAGUCGUUCGUCGAACAGACUAUGGCCU
rnacentral:misc_RNA from 1 species